UUCAGUGAAUCAAGACAGCCAGUUGUGUCCCCGUGUUUGGCAGCCAUUCCUUACAUGACCUCAUUUUGAGGCCUUUCACCACUAAGGUUGCUCUCCUCUGAAUAUGCCGUCAGUAUCUCAGUCACUCAAACUGUGAAGUCCUGCCUCUACCAAACUGCCCAGGACAAGGCUGAGCAGCUGGAGACUUUAGCAAUAAAAAACUGAGAAUUCCUGGGAUGACGCUUAUCUCUUCCCAACCUCAACAGAGGGAACCAAUGCUGUAGGAAAUCACUGAAAAAUCACAAUCACACACUGUCUCUACACCCCUGGCCAAUACAAGGAGGAAAAUCAUUCCCUCAAAAAAGGUAAAUGUUAUUGAAGAUAACAUACUCACAGAAAAGUACACAAUCAUCAGCAUCCAGCUUGAUGAAAAUUUGUUCACAAAAGUAUUUUGUAAACAUCAAACUGGAAAGAAGGUGAGAGUUCCUUAUUACUGAAAAAUCUCACUACAAUUGUUUGGUGUUUAAAGAGUCCUGGCAUCCAGCAACCCAAGAAGCCCAGUCACUUGGAUGCUUGCCACAUGUUAUAAUCUUUCAACCACAUAAUGCAAAUAUGAUGCAAAAAUCAACUCCAAAGUGAAAUCAAAGAUUCUGCAAAAGAAUGAUGGAACUACAAAAGAGAAUGAUUUGAAUAUCAAAGGAUUAAAGAGAUC